UUUUGACAAAAGAGGGCAUGAUAAAUAUGAAGUAGGCUACUUGACACAAAAUCAAAACCACACUUUGUGCUCCUUUGAGGCCAAGUGUGCAUCUACAUCAAUGGCUGCGUUUGGACCCUGGGCAGCCUGUUAAAUGGCCCUGGGCUUUGGGGCUUGAGAAGGUUAUACUGAAUGUGUCGUUGUAUGCUGUCACCCACUGUCCCAAUUCAGCCAUUCAGAAGACAGAAGCGCUCCUGCUGUGCAAACGAUACCCCCCAUCAAAAUCCGCUCUUCCGUCCACACAAACAAGAGCCCCCCCCAAAAAAUGUCUGCGUUCCCAGCAUAUCAAAGACCAGUGGCAGUUCCUGCCAUAACAAACAGCUGGAGUCAAGUCAAUGCUAGUCCAGAAUGGCCACUGGUGUCAUUAACCUUUUAAGACGUAAUACCACAAAUAUGUAAUUAGAAUGUUCUCAACUGACCAUUCUAAUGCCAGUGUAACAAUCAUUACUGUUAAUUGAAAGCAAUGAGUUCUAGAACACGUACUCAGAACUUCAAAAAAAGAAAAAGAAAUCCAAAAAACCAACUCCAAUUAAUAGUGAGUUAAUAGUGACCUGAAAUGAGAAGGAAAGGAGAAAUCUCUAUGAUGCUUCCUUGGAUGUAGAUUCUGUGAUACUGAUGCCACCACACAACCCCAUACAAUAAGACUGCACGUUCCACAUUUUCAGGUUUUUUGUUGUUAAUUUUUCUUUUAGGCUAUAUGUCUUAUAUAAAUCCGUCCUGAGUGUUCAAUUGUCCACCUAUCGCCAGCAAAGUUUUGGGACAGAGGGAGGACUGAGCUGAACACCAGAUCGAUAAAUGAAGGGGGAGUAAAGAAAGAGAUGGUUCCUCGCUCCUUUUGGCUGAGGUGUUUUGAGGCUGUUUUCUGAAUUCUAAUGGUGCCUCUUUCAGCAGUAAAGUGCCUGGUGCCUAGGCCAGUCUGCCUCUCUUUAAAACAAACUGGCUCCUUGACAGCUUGGCUCUACAACGUCCAUCAACUUGCCUCAAUGAUGGUUUUGUUGUCAUUGAUAGACCCUAAGGAAAGUAGGGGGAUCACUCCUUUCUGGGGUCUGCUAGAGUACAGCCCUACUUGAGUCUUUCUUGGAUGUGGGAGCAACUGAAAGCAAUUAAUCAUGAAAGAAGCUUUAUUUUGUUCUUGUCUCGCAAUAACUCAAUUCAAAACCUAAAUCUGGCAUAAUUCUCCCUGUAAUGUAUGCUGCAAGAAAAUAAUUGCUUUUUCCCUGCUAUGUUCAGUAUGUUAAAUAGACUUCACUACAGGACAAAUAAUGCAUUUAUAUAUGUAUGUAUGCAUGUAUUUGCUCAUUACCAUUAAAUUUCAAAGCCCUUCUACACACUAUUUUUCAAAUACCAUGAUUCAGGAUGAUACUUCAGUGUUUCAAAUAUAUAAGUAAUCUUUUUUAGUUUGAUUGCUGUGUUCUUAUUCUAAAAGAAAUGAUUGCUGUCUGUUGGUUGAUGCAUUAAAUAAGUCAGAGAACUCUAUGGUAAUUUGUCUUCAUGGAAGUGUUUUUGUACAAUUUUGUACAUCAUCUUUGUAUUUGUUUAUCUACCUUUUGUUAAAGUGAUCAAGGAUUGAUAGCAGCAAUCAGCACAGACAUAAUAUUAUUCAUCAUGAGUAAGUUAGCUAAAUCUUUACCACAGUGAUGGAAAAUCAAAAACCUGGAGAAAGAAAGGAACAACACAUGAUCCAAAGCAUACCACCUCAUCUGUGAAAUAUGAAGGAGGUAGCGUCAUGGCUGGGGCAUGUAUGACUGCUUCUGGAACAAGCCCACUCUUCUUUAUUAAUGAUGUAACAGAAGACAGCUACAGUAGGAUGAAUUCGUAAGAGUACAGAGUACAGACAGAUUUUGCCUGGCUAUGUACAAAGAAAUUCCUCCAACCUCAUUGGCUGGCACUUCAGCCUGCAGCAGGGCAAUGACCCCAAACACACUGCCUACACAACCAAAGGGAUUCAGCAUUCAUCAAUGGGAAGAAGUGGAAAGUUUUGAACUGGCCGAGUCAGUCACCUGAUUUAAAUCCAAUUGAGCAUUCAUUUCACUUACUGAAGGGGAAACUGAAGACAGAAACCCCUUGAAACAAAGAUCAGCUGAAAGCUGCUGCAGUGAAGGCCUGGAAAGGCAUUUCCAAUGACGUCAGUCGGUCGUGGCCUUAAUGGAAUUAUUGCAUUUAAGGACUGCGCAACCAAAUAGGCUACACUUCAUUGCUUUGAUUUCCUUUUUCAAGUUCAUCUGUUAACUUCAUUUUGCACAGCUGAAAAUGGAGGGACUCAACAUAAAAACAGUUUUUUCUGUACAAUGGUAAAAAUAUAAUCAUGAAAAUAACAUGAAAUAAAAGAUGAUUGU